GACAGAGGAUGCAAACGUUGCUCGGAAUUACUGGGCGUAAAGCGCGUGCAGGCGGUCUGAUAAGUCGGACGUGAAAUCCCGGGGCUCAACCCCGGAAGAGCGCUCAAUACUGCCAGACUUGGGUUCUGAAGAGGAGAGCGGAAUUCCCGGUGUAGAGGUGAAAUUCGUAGAUAUCGGGAGGAACACCAGUGGCGAAGGCGGCUCUCUGGGCAGAUACCGACGCUGAGACGCGAAAGCGUGGGAAGCAAACAGG
rnacentral:rRNA from 1 species